rnacentral:rRNA from 1 species
UACGAAGGGGGCUAGCGUUGCUCGGAAUCACUGGGCGUAAAGCGCACGUAGGCGGCUUGUUAAGUCAGGGGUGAAAUCCCGGGGCUCAACCCCGGAACUGCCUUUGAUACUGGUAGUCUCGAGUCCGGAAGAGGUGAGUGGAAUUCCGAGUGUAGAGGUGAAAUUCGUAGAUAUUCGCAAGAACACCAGUGGCGAAGGCGGCUCACUGGCCCGGUACUGACGCUGAGGUGCGAAAGCGUGGGGAGCAAAGCAGG